CACUCCAAAUUCAUAAAAUAUUUAACUUUUAGAAACUUUUUUUGACAGAUAAAUUAAAGAUUAGUACUGUAGGGCUUUACAUCUCUAUGCAUUUAGCUCCCAUUGCUUCUGUUGCCUGUUGAUUUAGACUUUACAUGAAUACAUCUUGUGGCACG